rnacentral:rRNA from 1 species
GACGAACGCUGGCGGCGUGCUUAACACAUGCAAGCCGAACGGAAAGGCCCUGCUUCUGCGGGGUGCCCGAGCGGCGAAAGAGUGAGUAACACGUGAGUAACCUGCCCUUGACUUUGGGAUAACUUCAGGAAACUGGGGCCAAUACCGGAUAGGAGCUCCUGCUGCAUGGCGGGGGCUGGAAAGUUUCGGCGGUUGGGGAUGGACUCGCGCCUCAUCAGCUUGUUGGUGGGGUAGUGCCUUACCAAGGCUUUGACGGGUAGCCGGCCUGCCAGGGUGACCGGCCACACUGGGACGAAGGUACGGCCGCUAGUCAUACGGGAAGCAGAAAGGGGGAAUUUUUCCCGAUGGGCGGAAGCCUGAUGCAGCAACGCCGCGUGCGGGAUACCGGCAUUCGGGUUUUAAUCCGCUUUCGCCUGUGACGAAGUGUGAGUGACGGUAAUGGGUAAAGAAGCCCCGGCUAACUACGUG